GGGAUUAGUACAAGUCCACCAUUCCGUUUGGGGAGGAAGGGAGGAGUGGGAAAACUAGCUGGUCCUUGUGAUGAGCCCUUUAGGGUUAGAAGAGUGAAGACAGAAGAUCUGCAUACGAGUGUUCAUCUAAGGACUGUCACUAACAAUGAUAAAAAUGACAAGAUGACAAGCCCACAUGUGCACUUACGGAAGGGGAAAAAAAAAACAACACAGGAUAAUUCAAUCUGUAGAUCUAAUUUCCAUACUCUUGCAGUCUCAAGGGACUUGUAUGACUGACAACUCUAAUAGUAAAAACCUGAAUCUGAGU
rnacentral:lncRNA from 1 species